AGACGCAUUUUAGGGAGAGAAGGAAAGAGGUCUAACCACGCACCUACAAUUUAUCUUCUGGGUUGACAAGCUGUAAACCAGUGGUGGCUAACUUGUGGCACUCCAGAUGUUAUUGGACUCCAAUUCCCAUCAGCCCCAGGCAGUGUCAAGGAUAAAGGCAGUUAUAGACCAGCAACAUCUGGAGAACCAAAGAUUGCUGCAGAAAUGGGAAGAACUGAAUGUAAGAUUGGAAAAAUGAGAAGAUGAGAUAAUUGAAUCUGACAAAUUUAUCCAUUACCUAUUUGGGCACACGUGAUCUCAUUACCCCCCAACCAUGUAUCCCUAUAAUGCUCAAAAGGGUUUACUGCCUUUUAUAAAUGUGGGUGUAUUCUCUUUGCUCAUCGCUCUUUGGCUACAUUCACACCAGACAUUUAUUCCACUAUUAUUCC